GGGGAGGUGCCAGAGUGGUUGAUUGGGGCCGCCUGCUAAGCGGUUGUGGGGCUAGUAACUCCACCCAGGGUUCGAAUCCCUGCCUCCCCGCCA
rnacentral:tRNA from 1 species